UGCCAGCCGCCGCGGUAAUACGGAGGGUGCAAGCGUUGCUCGGAAUCACUGGGCGUAAAGCGCACGCAGGCGGCUGUUCAAGUCGGGUGUGAAAGCCCCGGGCUCAACCCGGGAACUGCAUUCGAAACUGGGCAGCUUGAGUUCGAGAGAGGGUGGUGGAAUUCCGAGUGUAGGGGUGAAAUCCGUAGAUAUUCGGAGGAACACCAGUGGCGAAGGCGGCUUUCUGGACCGAUACUGACGCUGAGACGCGAAAGCGUGGGGAGCAAACAGGAUUAGAUA
rnacentral:rRNA from 1 species